UACGUAGGGCGCAAGCGUUGUCCGGAAUUAUUGGGCGUAAAGAGCUCGUAGGUGGUUUGUCACGUCUGCCGUGAAAACCCGAGGCUUAACCUCGGGCCUGCGGUGGAUACGGGCAGACUAGAGGUAGGUAGGGGAGAACGGAAUUCCCGGUGUAGCGGUGAAAUGCGCAGAUAUCGGGAGGAACACCGGUGGCGAAGGCGGGUCUCUGGGCCGAUACUGACGCUGAGGAGCGAAAGCGUGGGGAGCGAACAGG
rnacentral:rRNA from 1 species